rnacentral:lncRNA from 1 species
CCCAAGGGAGGGCAAGGUGGGGGUGGGUGGGGUCCUGGGCUCCCCCUGCCGGGGCCCAGCAUGAGCAGCGCCUACCACUGGGAGGCCCUUGCACCGGCAGAUGGCUCUGGACUGGAGGCGGAGGCUGCUGGCCCAGCAGGAGCAGCAGGAGCUGAAGAAAGACAGGAAGGAGGAGGAACAUCGCUCUGAGAAGAAACCCCAGCCACAGCCGGAGCCCGAGGAGCCUGGGCCGACGCGGGCGCAACUCCAGCGGCUGCUACUGCCGCCGCCGCCGCCAGGCCCCGGGAGACAGGACGCCCGGCCUCAGUGCUCCUUCCUGCCCAACCUCCAGGCGGGGCAGCCCCCCUGCGGGGGCCGCAGACCCCAAGCCUGGCCGCCCAUCCUCCCCGGCCCCGGUCAGUGGGGUGCGGGGUGCCAGCCUCCCUGCCUCUGGUGGGCUCCUGGGAGAAACCUGAGCCUUCCUAGGGAUGAGGGGCAAGGCCUCAGGCGGCAGAGGGGCGGGGCAGGCAGGGGCGGGGCUUCCCGCGCCCCCGCUGAGACUCCUCUGACCCUGGUCUGGCCCGGCACCUCGGCUCUCCUUGGCAUUCAGUCACUGUGCUUGUUUCUGUCACCAGGCCUCAGGAACCCAUGCCAGCCUGGACCUGCCAAAAAUACCGGGUACUCGAGACUCACGUUCUUUCCAAUUGGAGGAUUAGUUUUGACUCCUCCUGUGACCACAGUGUGUCUGCCUGCACUUCCGGGCUCUCUGAGGCCACGAUGUCCUGCCUUUGCCCCACCUCCUCGGCGCCUCUGA